rnacentral:misc_RNA from 1 species
UCCGGUUUGACACCGGCAGUCUCCUAUGAGUCCCCGGACCUUACGGGUCGGCCACCCUUUCAGGCGCCUACUACCGGCAUGUCAAGCCUGGGUAAGGUUCUUCGCUUUGCAUCGAAUUAAGCCACGCGCUCCGCCGCUUGUGCGGGCCCCCGUCAAUUCCUUUGAGUUUUAGCCUUGCGGCCGUACUCCCCAGGCGGCGGACUUAAUGCGUUAGCUUCGGCACGGAACGCGAUGAAGCGCCCCACACCUAGUCCGCACCGUUUACGGCCAGGACUAC